rnacentral:lncRNA from 1 species
CACACACACACCGUCCCCAUCUCCAAACAAAGCCUGAGUGACUCACAAGUCUGCAAUUCCACCACUCUGACUUCCCACGCUAAAAUCACAACAACAAGGUUCCGGGAACAAAAUGGCCGCCUCCUCUUGACGCCGUUACUUGAGGCCAAUUCCUUUCCCCUGAUUGCCUCAUUUUCAAAGCUUCUUUUUUCCGAACCAUCUAAUCAGCCCCAGCUACAUUCUGCUUUCGAUUUUGCUCCAAGUGCUCAGAGCGCAAUAGUAGAAAGACAGAAUGUGGAGCAUUAGCAUACGUUUGAAGCGCUAUCAUUUGAGGUAGAUAUGGCACCACAUUAACACCGGAUGGCUCAGCCCACAGAAGAACGCUGUCAUUUUUCAUCAUACCCCAAAUUGAUUGGUAUCUACAGGAUUUAUUGAAGAGCAAAACCAUUCACAAGACCUCAAGGUUUCUGGCUGUAAUGCUAAGGACCUGAAGUUAACAGCGUGGCGGAUGCUCUACAUUGCAUUCUGUCAAACUGCCUUGCCAUUGCCACAACCUGGACUGGGGCAGAGCAUAAGGCCUGUUUGAGGGACUUGUUUCUGAAGACCAUUCUUCACAAAGCCAUUCGGAAGAACCCAGGAUGCCAUGGAUAAGGGGGUCCAGAUUCAGGUCACCCUUUAGCUGAAAGGGGCCUCCGAUUGUGAAGGCGGG